CAAUCAGUCCUUUUCAGGACUACCAAAUCUAUCAAAGCAAAGAGUU
rfam:Culex pipiens quinquefasciatus supercont3.392 genomic scaffold, whole genome shotgun sequence.